rnacentral:rRNA from 1 species
GACGAACGCUGGCGGCGUGCUUAACACAUGCAAGUCGAACGGAAAGGCCCUGCUUUUGUGGGGUGCUCGAGUGGCGAACGGGUGCGUAACACGUGAGUAACCUGCCCUUGACUUUGGGAUAACUUCAGGAAACUGGGGCUAAUACCGGAUAGGAGCUCCUGCUGCAUGGUGGGGGUUGGAACGUUUCGGCGGUUGGGGAUGGACUCGCGGCUUAUCAGCUUGUUGGUGGGGUAGUGGCUUACCAAGGCUUUGACGGGUAGCCGGCCUGUGAGGGUGACCGGCCACAUUGGGACUGAGAUACGGACCAGACUCCUACGGGAGGCAGCAGUGGGGAAUAUUGCACAAUGGGCGGAAGCCUGAUGCAGCAACGCCGCGUGCGGGAUGACGGCCUGCGGGUUGUAAACCGCUUUCGCCUGUGACGAAGCGUGAGUGACGGUAAUGGGUAAAGAAGCACCGGCUAACUACGUG